AAUUCAUGAUAGGGACAACUUCUUAAAAGCUCUUUAAAUCUUUCCCAAGCCUCUUGUAACAUUUUGUCAUCUCUUUGUGAGAAAGCCAUAAUCUCUUGUCUUAACUU